rnacentral:misc_RNA from 1 species
AAGACUAUAGACCUGCGGAGUACCUGCGGAAGGAUCAUUAUCGUAUUGUAACAAUUGGGGGGGCCACCGUGGGCUGUCGCUGACCCUUUGAAAGGGGGGUCGUGCACGCCCCCAUAGUGUCAUCCUCAUACAAUCCAACUCACCUCUGUGCAUCACCGCGUGGGUUCCUUUCUGGGUCGAGUCAGACUGGCUCGGAAAAAAGGGGCUUGCGUUUUCCAUACAAAUACCCUUAUAAAUCCA